GAACAUGUAAAGAAAGGCUCAGCGUUC
rnacentral:piRNA from 1 species